GACGAACGCUGGCGGCGUGCCUAACACAUGCAAGUCGAACGGAACUUCUUUAAAGGAUUUCUUCGGAAUGAAUUUGAUUAAGUUUAGUGGCGGACGGGUGAGUAACGCGUGAGUAACCUGCCUCUAAGAGGGGAAUAACAUUCUGAAAAGAAUGCUAAUACCGCAUAAUAUAUAUUUAUCGCAUGGUAGAUAUAUCAAAGAUUUAUCGCUUAGAGAUGGACUCGCGUCCGAUUAGUUAGUUGGUGAGGUAACGGCUCACCAAGACCGCGAUCGGUAGCCGGACUGAGAGGUUGAACGGCCACAUUGGGACUGAGACACGGCCCAGACUCCUACGGGAGGCAGCAGUGGGGGAUAUUGCGCAAUGGGGGAAACCCUGACGCAGCAACGCCGCGUGAAGGAUGAAGGUCUUCGGAUUGUAAACUUCUUUUAUUAAGGACGAAGAAAGUGACGGUACUUAAUGAAUAAGCUCCGGCUAACU
rnacentral:rRNA from 1 species